CCCUUAGAUGUUCUGGGCUGCACGCGCGCUACACUGAUGCGUUCAACGAGUCUGCCUUGGCCGAGAGGUCUGGGUAAUCUUGUGAAAGCGCAUCGUGAUGGGGAUAGAUUAUUGCAAUUGUUAGUCUUCAACGAGGAAUUCCUAGUAAGCGCGAGUCAUCAACUCGUGCUGAUUACGUCCCUGCCCUUUGUACACACCGCCCGUCGCUCUUACCGAUUGAGUGAUCCGGUGAAUAAUUCGGACUGCGAAGGGCCCGGUUUCCGAGUCCUUUGUAGGAAGUUUAGUGAACCUUAUCACUUAGAGGAAGGAGAAGUCGUAACA
rnacentral:rRNA from 1 species